rnacentral:rRNA from 1 species
UUGGAGGGCAAGUCUGGUGCCAGCAGCCGCGGUAAUUCCAGCUCCAAUAGCGUAUAUUAAAGUUGUUGCAGUUAAAAAGCUCGUAGUUGAAUUUCGGGGUCAGUAGGUUGGUCAUGCCACAGGUAUGUACCGGUCUCACUGAUUCCUCCUUCCUGAUGAACUGUAAUGCCAUUAAUUUGGUGUUGCAGGAAAUCUGGACUGUUACUUUGAAAAAAUUAGAGUGUUUAAAGCAGGCUAACGCCUGAAUACAUUAGCAUGGAAUAAUGAAAUAGGACGUUCGAUCCUAUUUUGUUGGUUUCUAGGAUUGACGUAAUGAUUAAUAGGGAUAGUUGGGGGCAUUGGUAUUCAAUUGUCAGAGGUGAAAUUCUUGGAUUUAUUGAAGACUAACUACUGCGAAAGCAUUUGCCAAGGAUGUUUUCAUUAAUCAAGAACGAAAGUUAGGGGAUCGAAGACGAUCAGAUACCGUCGUAGUCUUAACCAUAAACUAUGCCGACUAGGGAUCGGAUGAUGUUAAUUUUUUAAUGACUCAUUCGGCGCCUUACGGGAAAC